GAGAGGUGUCCGAGUGGUUUAAGGAGCCGGUCUUGAAAACCGGUGAUGCCUCACAGCACCGUGGGUUCGAAUCCCACCCUCUCC
rnacentral:tRNA from 1 species